UUGGACUCACCCUAUCUGCCUUCCUCUGCUC
rnacentral:piRNA from 1 species